UGGGGUGUGGCUGAGUGGUAGAAGGCUUGCCUAGCAUGUGCAAGGCCCUGGGUUCAAGUCCCAGCACCAUAA
rnacentral:tRNA from 1 species